AAAUAUUUUUGAGUAAUUUGUGCACAUAACUUAAGUGCGAAUUAUGUAUGUUCAAGGAUAACGAAACGUAGAGCCAUAAAGUGUACCGAGCCAUAAAGUGUAAAUGAAGGUAUCCGGUUGAAUGGUUUAUCCACAAAGAAAUAUAUUGAGGCCAAAAACACAAUUGUGAUAUUUACAAAAA